rfam:Salmo salar isolate Sally breed double haploid chromosome ssa01, whole genome shotgun sequence.
CUCCCUGUGGCUCAGUUGGUAGAGCAUGGUGUUUGCAACGCCAGGGUUGUGGGUUCGAUUCCCAUGCGGGGCCA